rnacentral:rRNA from 1 species
UUUAUGGAGAGUUUGAUCCUGGCUCAGGACGAACGCUGGCGGCGUGCCUAAUACAUGCAAGUCGAGCGAACAGAGAAGGAGCUUGCUCCUUUGACGUUAGCGGCGGACGGGUGAGUAACACGUGGGCAACCUACCUUAUAGUUUGGGAUAACUCCGGGAAACCGGGGCUAAUACCGAAUAAUCUAUUUCACUUCAUGGUGAAAUACUGAAAGACGGUUUCGGCUGUCGCUAUAAGAUGGGCCCGCGGCGCAUUAGCUAGUUGGUGAGGUAACGGCUCACCAAGGCGACGAUGCGUAGCCGACCUGAGAGGGUGAUCGGCCACACUGGGACUGAGACACGGCCCAGACUCCUACGGGAGGCAGCAGUAGGGAAUCUUCCACAAUGGGCGAAAGCC